rnacentral:tRNA from 1 species
GGUUGAGUGGUGUAGUUGGUUAUCAUGUCAGUCUGACACACUGAAGCUCUCCGGAUCGAACUCGGGCUUGAUCA